GAAAGCUGCAUACGGGAAAUCCGUCCGUGCAGUUUGAUGAGGAGGUGGUGCCUGAAAGGGCACUGCUUUACUCUGC
rfam:Candidatus Methanoperedens sp. DS-2015 MPEBLZ_contig000015, whole genome shotgun sequence.